ACAAAGCCUUAACAACCCCAACAAAAUCAUGCUUAAAUCCAUAUUCUCCAAGAAAAUGCUUUGGUGGAAUGAUUUUUGUGUACACAUAGAAGGCUACACAACCAAUAGUUGGUCCAACCCAAAAGAUCCAAUGUCCAUCCCAAAGGUGACCUCCUCUAAUAAUAGCUGGCCCCAAACAUCUCGCCGGGUUCAUCCCCGCCCCUCCAUAGCCCUUUCUCGCGGUCACCGUGGUCGAGAUAAACACUAGAAGGCCUAACACUACACCAACAAUGGACAAGACAGUGACAUGUCCAAGAGACUUAGCUUGUCUAUGAUCAUAAGCCAUCCAAAUUGAAGCAAAGAGAAAAACAAAUGUACAAAAUAUCUCUAGCCAUAAGGCUUGGGCCAUCUCUAGGCCCACAAUAACGGGCCCAUUUGGGCCUGGUGCAAUUAUUGUGAUAGUGCAACCACCAAGUGAGAAAGUGUCUUCAAUUGAUGAACUAACCACUGCUCUGAGAGCUAGUGCACCUAAAAUUGCACCAACACAUUGUGCCAUUAUGUAAAUUAUGGCUCUUGACAUGGAUAUAAUUCCGACGAGCGCGGCCGAGAAGGAGAUAAUCGGAUUGAUAUGGCCUCCUGACACCGGAACAACAGCCAGGAGUAGAAUUGUGAUCACAAUUGCAAUGAGAAUUGACAUGAUCAAAUUUGGCAUUUUCGUAUCACUUUCUAAAGUGGAAAUCACUAUAGUAUCCAACAUGAAAACAAGAACCGCUGAGCCUAGGAGUUCUCCCAUCGACGCUCGCCAUACCUGUAUAACAAUAACAACAACAAAAAUUAUGCAUGGAUAAUGCUCGAUUUAUUUAUUAUGAAGGUAAUAAGAGAUGAAAUUAAAAUAUAUUACUAACAUCCAAACAAAAGAAAUCAGGAACGCCCAGCCUUUCAGAGAAUGAGAGAAAAAUUGGCUUCUUUCCCUCAUCGUCAAUAGUAUUCCUGCUAAUCGGAAUGUACAAUAAUUAAUUAGGACAAAUAAAAUGUUUAGUUUUUUCAUAUUGUUACUCAACUAACUCUUACUAUCUCAGAAAGUCACCGUUUCAAAACUUUCCAACAAAGAAAUUGACAUUCUGAGAUAAUAAAUAUUGGUUAAGUGACGAUAUGAGAAAUCAAUAUAAUAUCACAAUAAAUCGAAGAGAUUAAUUUGACAUACUUCCUUGAUGUAGAAGAACAAGGUUGAACUUUAUUAGUCCCACCAGGAAGCUGGUUUUCCUCAUCACCAAAAACAACAUUAUUCUUUGAAGCCAUAUGUGGGAGAAAACUAAGAUAGUUGAUCCUAGUAUGUAGCUAAUUAAGGUUUUAAUUGUGUGCAUGGAAAUGGGUUAUAAAUAUUAAAAAUACUACUCUCCAACCUCCACUGCCUAACCUAUCUUUUAUUGUUAUUAUUAUUAAUUAUUAAAAUAUAAUAAAGUUUUAUUUGCCUGUAUAUAUCAAGCAGAAGAAUCUCUUGGCCAAUUUUAUUGGGGGAGUCAAUUUCUCAUUAAUUUUUUUAAAAAAAAAAUUAUUAUAAAAUAUGGUAGUUCUACUACUAAAUGUAAGGAUUUGACAAUUCCUCAUUAAAAUUGUAGGCCUUUUUGUGAUUAGGAAAUAAUUUAAGAAUUGUAAGCUAUACUUUUCAUCCCCUUUAUUAUUUACGAGUCAUUAAAAUAUAUAAAGUAUUAGUGAAAGGUAUUCGCACUAUGUGAACCUUAAGAAAUAUGCUAAUUUCUGAAUCAUAUGAGUUAUCGUACUUUUUGAAAAAAUAUUUAGUUUAAAAGUUUAUUAAUUUAAGAAAUUAAGAGAUGAUUAAAUUUUUAUUUUCACUUAAUAAAUAUAGAAAGGGAGUAAUGUGAUGAAAAUAAUUAAAAGGGUAGCAUCAAAUCAAAAUUAAAGAGUAAAUAAGAAUAAUUUAAUGAAAGUAUUUCUUUUUGUUAAUCUUUUGAAAAAGAGUGUAAUGAAAAAUAUAACAAGUAAAAUAGACCGGAGGAAUUGAUUAAUUUGUUAAAUUCGAAUUGAUUAAUUUGUUAAAUUCAAAAGAUAUUUUUCUCCCACCCUCUUUUAUGUAAAAUGGUUAUUUGUUUUAGGAGUUAAAUAUUUUUAAAUUUUCUUUGACUAAAUAAUUUUCUCAAAACUCUUUUUAAAUUCUUUCAAUUAUAUUAUCAUGUUAACUUAUUUUAUUUUUAAAUGUAUAAUUUUUAUAUUAAGAAGUUUGAGGGAGGGAGGGGUAUAUACCUUACUUCAUAGUAAAAAUUGAGUGGUUUAUCCUUAGUAAUAUUGAAUCCCUUCUUAUAAAUUAGGGAAUAAACAUCAUUUCUCUCUCUCUUUUAGCAUGAUUUAAUUGUGGAGUAAUAAAAUGAGAGUCCAAAAAACAUAUUACAUAUAUAUGUUUUUUUUGAGUCCGGAGCCCAAAAAGGUAUAAAAUGUUAACAAAAAAUUUAAAAUGAUAAAAUCGCUGCAAUAGCAAUGAUCGCUGCCCUUGCAGCGAUUUGCUCUUAAUAUUUUUUUAAUUUCAAAUAAAUAAUUAAAAAAAUUUAAGAAAUCGCUGCUUUGGCAGCGAUUUAUUAAAAAAUUAUUUUAAAUCAUUAAAAAAAAUUAUUUUGGAAAUAGCGAUUUCUUUAAAAAGAAUUUUUUUAAAAAAAAAAUCAAAUUUUGCAAAACGCUACUAUUGCAGCGAUUUUGCUUUUUCCGGCGAGCGAAAUCGCUGCUCUUCUAUUGAUUUUUCCCUUUUGGUUAAAAUAAAAAUUCAUAUACCGUUUUGAAAAUUUUGUUAACAUUUUAUACCCUUUAGGCUCGGGACUCUAUGUUUUUUUUGUAAGUCAAGUAUUUUGAAACUACCACAAUGUUUUGAUCAUUGUUAUCCAUUGUAUUGUGUUGUAUUGUUGCUAUAUCUACAAUGUUUAUUUUGAUUGUUACUUAAAAUAUAUUGUACUGUAUUGUUAAAUUUCAUUGUUACGUAACAAUGAAAACCCUUAAUGGAACAACCUAUUUGGUGUGUUCGCAUUGUUAGUUAAUUUCUUUUUUCAAUUAUAUCUUUACAUAAUAUUUCAAAAUACUAUUUUACCCUUUACGUUAAUUAUUUAAAUAUUAUAAAUUUAUAAUUUACAAUACAGUACGAUACAAUUAAACUAAACAAUUAAAAUGUUAUUAAACAACAACAAACAAUAUAGUUUGAUCAAACCUUAUAUCUACCAUAUAAUGCAGUACAAUAUAAUGAAAAAUACAUAACAAUGAUCCAAAUUAAGCGUAAAUAAUUCAGUAAUAUGGGAAGACAAUUGUUGUUGGGGAGUAGAGGAAAUACAAUAUAUUUUAAAAUAGGUAAAUUAAAGAACGCGACAAAUUGUAUGGAAGUAUCAAAAAGUGAGACUUGAUAUUAGCAUUGUUUGCUCCAUGAUUUGUGGUUUAACUAAUAAAUGAAGUCACGCUCAUUCAAAUCUAUAAUGUCUCAAAAUUACAUCGAUAAACAUUUUAUUUUUGCUCUUAACUCAUAUAUGCUUAGUAUUUUAAUGGUCAUGUGGUAUUCAAAAUUCAUGAACAUUUAUGGAAGUAAGUUUGAAAUCUCAAACAAAGUGGUAUUACUUUUAUGUGUAUAUAGGUGAAACUUUUUUAGUGUCUUUGUCAUUUUGAGACGCUUGUUCCUUAAGGCAUGAUACAAGUAAUUCCAUUUUAAAUUAAUUUUCUCAUGCAAUCAUGUGAAAAAUUAUGCCUUUUGACUUCUUAUAAUAUGAUAUCUCCAUGCUCGAAUUAGAGUGACUUGUGUUGGGAAUAAAUCCGUAACAGAAAUAAUAUUUGCGGUAAUAAGGCAAUAAAUGCGGAACACAACAAUACGAUUAAUCAACGAGAAUAAAAGAGAAAUAAUGACAUGACACCAAGAUUUUAUGUGGAAACCCUUCUAAAUAAGAGAAAAACCACGACCCGAGAGGAGCAACGAAUGUCAUUGUAGUAAGGAUUUUACACUUGUAUGUCUGAGUAAAACUCCAAAGACCACUACACAUUCAAAAGAAAUAACACUCUUUUGAAUUUUCUACCUCACUACAAUAUCGCUCGCACUUUCUAUUUUUUUCAUAGAUUAUUUUCCUCUGUGAUGCCUCACUCUUCUUUCUUUCCUUUGUAAUUCUUUUUGGUGCAUUUUUGAAAUGAGCAAGGGCUCUGUAUUUAUAGGAAAAUCUACUCCUAAUGAUGUCACCAGUGACAUCACAAAAAACACAAGAUUCAACCUUUUCACCUAUGUAGAAAUCUUGCUAAGAUUUUAGUUGAAAAAAGAAAUGGUGAGCUUUGAAUUUUGUUGCAGCAUUUGUUGACUUUAACAAUAAGCAACAAACAAAAUUCAACUAUUUCUGCAUUUUAACUUUCCUUAUGUUUAUCUACAAUGGGUAUGGACUCCACUAAUCUCCCCCUCCAUACCCAUUCACCUGAAGGAGGUAGCUCUAGGUUUCUAGCUUGAGUGCAUGCCAACAAGUUCUUUGCAUAGCUCAAACUUGUCCCUUGAUACCACCUUGGUCAACAUAUCUGAAGGGUUUUCACUAGUAGGGAUCUUUAUGACCUGCAUAGAUCCGUCCUCUAUCUUUUCACGAAUCCAGUGAUAUCUCACGUCAAUAUGCUUCGUCCUUGCAUGGUACAUGGUGUUCUUUCUCAAGUCUAUUACACUCUGACUGUCAUAAUAGACGACAUACUCCUUCUGAUGCAAUCCAAGUUCUUGAAGAAAUUGUUUCAGCCAUACCAUCUCUUUGCCAGCUUCAGUAGCUGCAAUAUAUUCUGCCUCAGUUGUAGAGAGUGUGACACACUUCUGCAACUUUGACUUUCAUGAUAUAGCUCCCCCUAAAAAUGUAAACAAAUAUCCAUUAGUGGAUUUUCUAUUAUCGAGGUCACAUGUCAUAUCAGCAUCAGUAUAGCCCUUCAAGAUUGGAUCAGAUUCUUUAAAACACAAGCAAUCUCUUUUGGUACCUCUUAGAUACCUAAGUAUACACUUAAAUGCCUCCCAGUGUUCUUUUCCAGGAUUUUCAAGGAAUAUGCUAACAACACCAAUUGCAUGAGCAAUAUCAGGUAUUGUACACACCAUCGCAUACAUCAAACUCUCCACUGUUGAAGAAUAAGGAAUUUUAGCCAUUCCCUCUUUCUCCUUUUUUGUUGUAGGACACAUCUGUUUGCUCAACUUCAGAUGACUCGCAAGAGGCGUGCUAACAGGUUUAGCACUCUUUAUGUUGAAGCAUUCUAGUACACGUUCAAUGUACUUCUCUAAAGAUAGUCACAACUUUCUUUUUUUUCGUCCUCGAACAAUCUUCAUCCCUAGAAUUUGUUGUACUGGGCCCAAGUCUUUCAUGUCAAAUGACUUGGAUAAAUCUUUCUUCAACUUUGCAAUCAUCUCUUUUCUUGUCCUACAAUUAACAUGUCAUCCACAUAUGACAACAAAAUAAUAAAAUUGUUAUCAGAAAAUCUUUUGAAGUAUACACAUGGAUCAAAAUAGGUCUUUGUGUACGUUUGACUUUUCAUGAAAGAGUCAAACUUUUUGUACCAUUGCCUUGGGGCCUGUUUCAACCCAUAAAGACUCUUAUUAAAUUUGUACACCUUGUUUUUCUUUCCAGAUACUUCAAAUCCCUCUGGUUGCUCCAUAUAAAUCUCAUCUUCCAAAUCUCCAUGAAAAAAAUGCAGUUUUCACGUCCAAUUGUUCCACUUUAAAUCUAGACUAGCUGCUAUGCUCAAAAUAGUUCAAAUAGAAGUCAUUUUGACAACGGGUGAAAAAAUUUCAUCAAAAUCAAUACCUUUCUUUUGUUCGAAGCCUUUUACAACCAAUCGAGCUUUAUACCUCACCAACUUGCCAUUUCCAUGUUUCUUGAGUUUAAAGACCCACUUGCACUUAAGUGGUCUUUUCCUUUUGGAAGUUCAAUUAGCUGGUAUGUGCCAUUUUUCGGUAGAUAUCCCUCUCUUCGUGCAUAGCUUUCAUCCAUUGGCUCUUUUCUGGAUGAGACAACACCUCCUUAAGACUUUCUGGCUCACCUUCAUCAUUGAUAAGGACAUACUCUGAGGAAGGGUAUUUGGUUGAUUCUACCCUUUGUCUUUCUGAUCUCCUCAAAGGUUGAGAUUGUUCUUCUUCUGGGUACUCCAUUUGGUCGGUAUUAUCACCAAGUUGCUCCCCCUGCUCAACAAUCUCAUCAGGUUGCUCUUCAUGCUCAGCAACUUCAUCAAUCAUACUUUCUGCACUUAUGGGAUGGUUAGAAGAAGAAGGAAUGGUAACAAGAUUAGGGACUAUACCAUUCUUUUUCUUGGCCUUCUCGGAUAGAUUAUCAGCAGUUCCAACUUCACUUUCUCGAAAGAUUACAUCUCUACUUCUGAUGACCUUCUUCUUUACAAGAUCCCAUAGUCUGUACCCGAACUCUUCAUCUCCAUAUCCGAUGAAUAUGCAAGGAACUGAUUUAUCAUCUAGCUUGGUUCUUUGAUCCUUCGGUACAUGUGCAAAAGCUUUACAAUCGAACACCUUUAAGUGCGAUUAAGACAUCUCUUUGUUGGUCUAAACUCUAUCCGGAAUGUCAAACUCCAACGGAACUGAUGGACUACGAUUGAUAAGAUAACACGCUGUCCGAACUGCUUCACCCCAGAAUGUUUUGGGUAAUUUAGACAUUCUGAGCAUGCUUCUGACCAUCUCAACAAUGGUGCGAUUCAUUCUCUCAGCUACACCAUUGUGUUGUGGGGUUCCAGGAACUGUCUUUUCAUGUCUAAUUCCAUGAUUUGAAUAGUACUCUUCAAAUUCUCUUGAAGUGUACUCACCUCCAUUGUCGGUUCGGAGACGUUUUAGCUUUUGACAUGUCUCUCUUUCUAUCAGAGCAUGAAACUUUUGAAAUACUUGAAACACCUGAUAUUUGUUUCUCAAGAUAUAAACCCAUAAUUCUCGAGAAGCGUCAUCAAUAAAGGUAACAAAGUAUUUAUUACCUCCUAUCGAUUCUAUCACCAUUGGACCACAAAUAUCAGAAUAUACCAAAUCAAGUAUAUUCGACUUUCUUUCAGAUGAUGUCUUAAAUGAGACUCUAUGUUGUUUACCAAAUAAGAAGUAGUUCACGAUUUUAUUGUUGUACCUUUGGCAAAAGAGAUGAGUGAAUUUUGGAAAGAAUUUGCAACCCUUUCUCGCUCAUAUGACCCAUUCUUUUAUGCCAUAAAUCUGCAAAAUUUUCUUCUUGAGCCGCAUUUAAUUCACCUUGGAAUAUUUUUGCAUUUGUCUUGUAUAACAUGCCACGAGCAACUCCUUUUGCAAUCACCAAUGCCCCUUUGGUGAGUCUCCAUUUUUUAUUUGCAAAGUAGUUCUCAUAUCCAUCUUGGUCCAAAGCGAUUCCUGAGAUCAAGUUCAUCCGCAAAUCAAGUACGUGGCGCACAUGUUUCAAUACUAAUGUGCAUCUGAUAUGCUCAAACUUACUUCUCAAAUAAGAAGUAAAGCGGUCGUGUCAAGUAAAUAACCCAACUAGUGAGGUUGGGAUCGUUCCCACGAGGAAAAUAGUCUAGACUUAACUUCAAUCUAUUAUUACUUUUGUUUAAUCAAUUACUUCAUUGGAAAGUAAAAACAAUAAAAGGGGGGUUUCUAUUUCUAAAUGAAUGAAAAUAACUACCUAAAUUAAAAGAGACACUUAACAUCUUUGAAUGUUGGAUUUUAAUCAAUUAAUCAAAGUAACUAGGGUUUACGUGUUCCCCACAGGUUCAUAACUUGAUAAUUCUAACCAUAACAAUUCUUUCCUAGUAUCUUGCAUGUAAAGUGAUAAGUUAUGUAUUUCUAACUCCUUGGUCCGGCAUCUAGAAAAUCUCACUCCGCACCAUGGUCCGGCUACAUGUGUUGUUAUCCUAACCCUUAUCUUUACCUCAUAUUAAGCAUCGUAUUCGAUAUUUGACUAAGUUAUUACCUCGUACCAAUCAAUAAUAGCCUAUUAGAUAGUAUACACUAAAUCUAUGUUGAUAAUUCUUUUCCUAUUAUCUACCUCCUUGGUUCGGCAAGUAGCAUUAAGGAAAGUUCUAACGUUGGCCAUCCGUUAAAAAUAAUUCUAAGCGAAAGAAUUAUUAAUACAUGCAAGUCACUAUUCUAGAAUUGUUAUUUUAGUUAGGUUUUAUCUCAUUAUUUGCCUAUGGUUCCCACAAACCUAGUUAUGGAGUUUAGUUACUCAUAGUCAUAAUCAUAAUAUUCAAAUAUAUUCAAAUAAGAAUUCAUGUACUUGCUUCAAUGAGAAAGAGUAAAAUCCAAAAGUUUGCUUGAUUAAUCACUUGCAAGAAUCUCAAAGUAAUCAAUAAUCUCACAAAAAGUCUAACAAUAAUCAAGAAUCUAACACUAAUACAUAGAGUCUAAUAAUGAUCCAGAGUCUAACUAAUAAUACCGAGUCUCCCUAAAAAUGAGGUUUUUUGAACUAUUUAUAGAAAAUAAAAACCUAAUUAAACAAGGACUCUAUUUGCUGGAAAUCUGUCAAAACGCGGCUGGGUCGACGGACAGCGCGACAGAUCGUCGUGGUCACGACGGACCAUCAUAGACUCCUUCGUCCCAUACUUGAUGAAAUUUCUAUUACUGCUCUCUUCAUUACCCUCGACGGCAAGUAUGACGGACCAUCAUAGGCACAACGGCCCGUCGAGGGUCUUCGUUUGAAAACACUUAAACUCUUGGAAUAUGGGUACUGGAUUAAUUCUCUGAACUUCAUGACUAACCUGCAGGACGGACCGUCAUAGACACGACGGACCGUCAUGGACUCCGUAACCCCACACUUGGUCAGACUUUCCCAUCUUCCUUCAGUAGCUGCACUACGCUGCCACUUACAGACCGUCACAAGCAUGGCGGACCAUCACAAGCUCCGUAGGUGGUCUCUUCUACAUGCCUUCACUCAAAAAACUCCGCAUACAUCUUUGAACAGAUUUCCUGCAAAUAAAGAGAAACGUAUAUAAAAAUUAGCACAAAAGACUUUUGGACACACUAAACUUAAGGAAAAAGUGUUAAUAAUACCGUGAAAACACGGUAUAUCAACACUCUCAACUUAAAUUUGCUGUUUGUCCUCAAGCGACGCACUAUGACUCAAUACAAAAUCUUUGUCCAAUAGUAUCCAUGGUUUAUCCUUUGCAAUCAUUUGGCUAUCAAUCUCGAUUAAUCUCAUCAUAUCUAUGCAUGUUAUCACUAUUAGGCUUGAAUUAUGUGGGACCAGAACAUGACACAGACUAACCAUGUACUAACACUUAUCCUCUUCAAUUUCUCACCGGUGUGCUAACAAUUUCGGUAUUGCAACUAGUGUCCUUACUUUAAAACAAAAUCCUCAUUUUUCACACAAUGAUUUCAGUUGAGUAUAAGAAUUACUUUUCAACACUCGCUCUCAGAAAAAAUUCACACUCAUUCACACCUAUUGCCAUAAGCUUGCCCUUAUUUUCACUGCCUUAAGUUCACUAUACAACCCUUAGGAUCACGAUAGGAAUUUCUUAGCUUGUAACAUAGGCUCAGGGUCAGGUAGGGUAUAUUUAGGUAUACUUUAGUGUCUUUUUGCUCUCCUUGACAUAUCGGCUAAACCUACCACUUUCUAUCAUUUUAUCUCGCCCAGUUUCUCAUAUUCUUUCACCUUGCUAUUUUCUCUUCUUUCUUCAUUUGUGUAAGUGACUCUCUUAUUUUCUUGCUUGUAUUUCUUGUAUAUUUUUCUUUUUCUUUACUUUUCUUUCAACUAAUUCUUGAGUCACUUUACUUAUGUUCUUUCUUUCUCUUUGUUCUUUCAACCCCACUUUCCAGAGCAUUCCUCAUAAUAGUCACCCUCAACUCAUGGCUUUGCCAUGAGUCAAGGUACACAAUACCCAAAGUUGGGUCAGGUCCAUAACGAAGGUUGUUUUCUAAAUUAGCCACCCUCAACUUAUGCUUUUGGCAUAAACUGAGGUGCACAUGUCCAAGGAGGGACCAGGGCCAACACAUUAUUCCCAGAAAAGAUCAGUUGGGGUGAAAAAGAAAGGUCUAAUUUAGGCUCAGAUCAUUUGGAUCAAAGAAGGAUAAAUUUCAUUUGGUUUUCUUUUAUUUAGGCUAAGAAUGGGCUAUAUUGAAUAAGGGCCUAUGAUCCUUUCCUAAUUGUUUAUUACAGCUUACUUUUAGCAUGAAUAACCAGGCAAGUUCUAGGUCAGUACAAAUGGUGGACUAUUUAAAUCUUCCUCACACUCACUUGACAUCUCAUCACUAUACCAGAUUAUCAGACACCUAGUUUGAAUUUUAGACUUAGGGUAAUGCAAUGGUGUACCUCUAUGUCAUGCUUAGAGCCACACAUUUAUCAGUUACUAUGCCUAGUCGCGCAUCAUUUUCCAAUUUAUCAGGAUAUCAUUUUAGCCAUCAUGCUCAAGAAUUAAACUAUGUACAAAAGAUAUAGACAUGCCGGUUCAACAGAAAAAGUAAUCAGUCUCUUGGGGGAAAAGAACACAGGCAAGAAAAACCCCAAAAGAGGAUAGUGAAUUGGGCUACUCAGACUGCACCUUAUCACUCACUUUCCAUUUACCGCACCCCCAACAAAAAGACAUGCAAUUGUCCCCAAUGCAUAAAAAAAAUUGAAAUACAAGAGUGGUAGGUGAAGCAAACCUGGGGCGCAAAACGCCGACAAUCAGCACAAACCAUUGUGAUUAUGACGGUCCGUCGUCGAUGUCUGUCGUGGGACACUAAAAAAAUGGAGACCCUUAAGAGAGGGGUCUUUGACCGUCAUGACGGUUAUGCAGGACGGACCGUCGAGAGUAUGACGGUCCAUCGUAGAUGUCCGUUGGAGGACACUUAGAAAAUGUGAGAGACCCUUAGGAAUAGGGUCUCUGACAACCAGAACGGUUGUACAGGACGGACCGUCGAGAGAACGACGGUCCGUCGCAUGUGUCCGUUGGUGACUGUUGUAGAGUGAUUUUCUGCAGAAUUUCCUGGUGAUGUGCCUGCAAAUUUAAAACCCAUUAGUAGAAAAUGCUACCAUUACUAGAAAGAAUGAAAGGGGAAAAAAACUAUAAGUAUUGGGUUGCCUCCCAACAAGCGCCUGAUUUAACGUCGCGGCACGACUGAGGACACUUGAUUACUCAGACUUCAUCAAGAUGGUAUGCCUCUAUCAUUUCAUUCACCGAUGUAGUAUGCCAAAAAUAGAGUUUUAUUCGUUCUCUAUUCACCUUAAACCGCACUCCCUCCUUGGUUUUUAACACAACUGCUCCAUGAGGGAAUACUUGGGUAAUCAAGUAGGGGCCAGUCCAUUUAGACUUGAGCUUGCCCGGAAGACAAGGCACCCCAGAACUAUCUACAAGCACCAAAUCCCCAAUCAUAAACUCUUGUUUUGCAUUUUUUUCUUCAUUCUCUUUCUUCAUCUUUUCUUUGUGGGAUAUGGCUGAUACCGAUUGAAGCUCACCACUCUGCCUCAUGGUCCUAUAAAUGUUGAAGGUCAUUUCUUCAUUGUUCAAUCGAAAUUUCAUCUGCCCCUUUUUCAUAUCAACUAAGGCUCUACCUGUAGCAAGGAAUGGCCUCCCAAGAAUAAUAGGCACUUCAAAAUCGACUUCACAAUCAAGAAUAACAAAAUUAGCCGGAAAGAGGAAUGACUCCACUUUUACUAGCACAUCAUGAAGUAUCCCUAUAGUCCUUUUCACUGUCCAAUCAGCCAUCAGUAGCCGCAUCGCAGUGGGUUUUGGAUCACCCAAAUCCAACUUCUUGUAGAUCGAGAGGGGCAUGAGAUUUAUGCUUUCCCUCAGAUCACAUAAUGCUUUCGCAAAAUGUAAUGACCCAACUGUACAAGGAAUAAUGAACGCACCCGGAUCUUUUUUCUUUUGUACGAAGGAUCUUGUAGCAAUAGCACUACAAUGCUGCAGUCUAUCAUCAUCCUCAAAAGUGACCGAUCUUUUGUUUGUGACCAGAUCUUUCAUAAACUUGGCAUAACUGGGCAUUUGUUCUAGAGCUUCUACCAAAGGGACAUUGAUAGAGAGCUACUUCUUAUAAAACGCCGAUAUUUACCAUCCUCGGUCUUUUUCCCUACUCUCUGAGGGAAGGGUGGUGGUGGUCUAGGCAUGGGAAUUACCAUCAUAGGGAUUUCUGCAUCUUUUCCAUUGCUCUCUUCUUCCUUAACACUACCCUUUACCACCUUAUCAUCAUCCUUUCUCACAUUUUCCUCAUUAGACGGCAUAGGUGGGUCAAUGGUUUGCUUCCCACCCCGAGUAGUGAUUGUCAUACAGUGCGCAUCAUUUUUUGGAUUUUGGACAGUGUUGCUAAGAAGAGUUCCCGGUUGCCGUGUGUUCACUGUCGCAGAUAAUUGGGCCAUUUGCAAUUCGAUCUGUUUAAUCGAUAUUGCAGUAUCAACUUUUUGCCCAAUACUAGCUAAAUCACCCCUUAACUCUUUAAUGUGCUCAUCACUAGCAUCGAACCUCCUCAUCAUUUUGUGCAACAUAUCCUCAACUCGCGCCAUACUAUCUCCACCAUCCCUAGGAUUAACUUCACGAUUUUGAGGAGGGACAUAAGGCUCAUUCCUAUCAUUUCUGUUACCGUAGUUACCCCUAUUGAAGUUAUUGUCGCGGUUGUAGUUUCUAUUUCGGGCAUAAUGACCCUCAUAGUUAUAUUUACCAUAGUUUCGACCUUGGUGCCAAUUAUCCUGAUUUGAGCCUUGGACGCUCGGUUGGAAACCCCCUGUUUGCUCAUUUACCGCAUAGGAGUCCUUCGCAUAAUAGCAUUCAUCAUUAUAUGGUGGUUUCGACAAGUAGUUGACUGCAUUUAUCUUUUCUGCACCCCAGUGACAUGUUUUAGUACCAACCCAAGCUCAGUUCUCAUCUGAGCCAUUUCUUCGUGAAUCUCAUCUGUGGCUGGGUUGUGAGUGGACUGUACUGCGAAGGUGUUUCUCCCUAUGUCAGGCUUUCUAGUACUCCAAGCUUUAUUAUUUCAGGAGAUUUUCUCUAAUUUUUCAGCAAUCUCAACAUAAGGACACUCCCCAUAAGAUCCACCUGCUAUAGUGUCCAACACCGCUUUAUUAUUAUCAUCUUGUCCCCGAUAGAAGUAUUCCUUCAGUGACUCAUCAUCUAUAUGGUGAUUUGGAACACUUCUCGAGAAUGAGAUGAAUCUAUCCCAAGAACUACUAACUGACUCUCCUGGUAAUGCCACAAAGUUAUUCACUCUGUCUUUGUGGUUUAGUUUCUUGGAGACCGGAUAGUAGCAUGCUAAGAAAACAUCCCUUAGUUGGUUCCAAGUGAAGAUUGAGUUGUAUGGGAUCUCAGUGAACUAUAUAGCAGCCUCUCCCGUCAGUGAGAGAGGAAACACUUUGAGCCCUAUUACAUCUAAGUCCAAGUCAGGCCUCCCGAUACAGCUUUUACACACUGCCCUUACCUUAGCUAUAUGGGCAUGUGGAUCCUCAGAAGGUAGCCCUGAAAACAAACCUCUGGCAGUGAGCAUUUGCAUCAGGCUAUUAGUUACCACAAAAGUAUGGACUGUGGGUAGAGGAGGCAAAACAAGUGGCCCAUCGGAGGCUGCUAUGUUAUCAUAGCCUCUGUAGUAUGCUUGGGGCCGUGGAGCAGGAUUUUGUCCCCUCUAUUGGUGUUCACCCGGAGCAUCGGGUAACAACUGACCAUGAACAUCAACCGGAGCUGGGAUGUUCUGGUUUGGAUCAUCAUCAUUGAUUCCCAUGUUUCGAUUCAUAUUGCGUAGUGUACGCUCUAAUUCAUGAUCGUAGGGAAACAAGGAUUCUCUUCCUCUCCGUGUAUUUGGAAUACAAGGAGGAUAGUUCUAAUCAAUUAAUCAAAGUACUAGGGUUUACGUGUUUCCCACAGGUUCAUAACUUGAUAAUUCUAACUAUAAGAAUUCUUUCCUAGUAUCUUAAAUGCAAAGUGAUAAGUUAUGUAUUUCUAAAUCCUUGGUCCGGUAUCUAGAAAAUCUCACUCCGCACCUUGUUCCAGCUAUGUGUGUUGCUAUCCUAACCCUUAUCUUUACCUCAUAUUAAGCAUCGUAUUCGAUAUUUGACUAAGUUAUUACCUCGUACCAAUCAAUACUAGCCUAUUAGAUAGUAUACACUAAUCUAUGUUGAUAAUUCUUUUCCUAUUAUCUACCUCCUUGGUCCGGCAAGUAACAUUAAGGCGAGUUCUAACGUCGGCCAUCCGUUAAAAAGAAUUCUAAGCGAAAGAAUUAUUAAUACAUGCAAGACACUAUUCUAGAAUUGUUAUUUUAGUUAGGUUUUAUCUCAUUAUUUGUCUGUGGUUCCCACAACCCUAGUUAUGGAGUUUAGUUACUCAUAGUCAUAAUCACAAUAUUUAAAUAUAUUAAAUAAGAAUUCAUGUACUUACUUCAAUGAGAAAGAGUAAAAUCCGAAAGUUUGCUUGAUUAAUCAACAAUAAUCACUUGCACGAAUCUCAAAGUAAUCAAUAAUCUCACAAAAAGUCUAAUGAUAAUCAAGAAUCUAACACUAAUACACAAAAUCUAAUAAUGAUCCAGAGUCUAACUAAUAAUACCGAGUCUCCCCUCAAAAAUGAGGUUUUUCGAACUAUUUAUAGAAAAUAAAAACCUAAUUAAACAAGGAAUCUAUUUGCUGGAAAUCUGUCAAAACGCGGUUGGGUCGACGGACAGCGCGACGGAUCGUCGUGGUCACGACGGACCAUCAUGGACUCCGUCGUCCCAUACUUGAUGAAAUUUCUUCUACUACUCUCUUCAAUACCCUCGACGGCAAGUAUGACGGACCGUCAUAGGCACAACGGUCCGUCGAGGGUCUUCGUUCCAAAACACUUAAACUCUUGGAAUAUGGGUACUGGAUUACUUCUCUGAACUUCAUGAUGAACCUGCAGGAUGGACCGUCAUAGACACGACGGACCGUCAUGGACUCCGUAACCCCACACUUGGUCAGACUUUCCCAUCUUCCUUCAGCAGCUGCACUACGCUGCCACUUACGGACCGUCACAAGCUCCGUAGGUGGUUCCUUCUGCAUUUCUUCGCUCAAAAACCUACGCAUACAUCUUUGAACAGAUUUCCUGCAAAUAAGGAGAAACUUAUAUAAAAAUUAGCACAAAAAGGCUUUUGGACACACUAAACUUAAGGAAAAAGUGUUAAUAAUAUCGUGAAAACACGGUAUAUCCAUCUAAUAAUUGUUUUUAAGCACAUGUCUCUGAUCCCCGCAAUCUUCGAGUAACUUGUGUUACCCUUUUGCACAUUUCCAUAAUCACCUGCUACAUAUCUGCAAAAAAGAUCUCUUACCGGUGUGGCAUGAUAAGAUGUUGUUGUGUCGACCACCCAUUCCGACUCUAUACCUGCCAAAUGCAUGCAUUCUUCUUCCUCAUUUAUGAGGAGAACAACAUCGUCAUUAUUUUGCACCAUGGCAGUUGUGUUGUCAUCAUUCUUCUGGUCGCUGCUUUCCCCUUUGCCCCUUUUUAGAUUUGGACAAUCUCUUUUGAAGUGUCCUGGUUGAUCACAAUUGUAGCAAUUUCUGGCCUUUGAUUUUGAUCGGACCUUGGACUUUCCACGAGCUUCGGAUCUACCAUAGUUACUUGAGAUCCUUUGGUAACUUCUGCCUCUACUUUCCGUGAUGAGAGCCUGUCCGUGAUUUUCAGGCCUUUUUCUCAUCUUCUCAUUAAGCAAAUGGGCUGAUGUGACAUCCUUCAACUCAAUAGAGUCCUUACCAUGUAAAAUGGUUAUUGCUAAAGUAUCGUAGGAAGAUGGCAACGAGUUUAGGAGCCCUAUGGCUUUAUCUUCAUCCUCGAUCUUUACUCUGAGGUUUUCUAGCUGCGUGAUUAGUCCAUUAAGUACAUUUAAAUGAGACAAAAAAUUUGUACCUUCACCCAUAUGUAGCGCAUAUAACUGCUUCUUUAGGUACAAUUUAUUUGUCAGCGUUUUGGACAUGUAUAGAUUUUCUAACUUUGUCCAAAUGCCACAUGCACUCUCUUCAUCGAUGAUGUUAUUAACUACAUCAUUCGUUAAGUGCAAUCUGAUUGCACUAGCAGCCUUUUCAUCCAUUUCUUCCCAAUCUUCAAGUUUCAUGGAUUCGGGCUUUUUGGAUUUGUCGCCUAGUGCCUUGUGCAAACCCUGUUGGAUGAGCAAGUAUUUCAUCCUUCUCUGCCACGUUGAGAAACCGCUAUCACCGUUGAAUUUUAAUACCUCAUACUUUACUCCAGACAUUUUUUUAUUGAGUAUAGUACAAUAAGUUGCAAAAAAUAUUUCUGUAAAUGAGCAGAACCUGUGCUCUGAUACCAAUUGUUGGGAAUAAAUUCGUAACAGAAAUAAUAUUUGGGAUAAUAAGGCAAUAAAUGUGGAACACAACAAUACGGUUAAUCAACGAGAAUAAAAGAGAAAUAAUGACACCAAGAUUUUACGUGAGAACCCUCCUAAAUAAGGGAAUAAUCACGACCCGAGAGGAGCAACGAAUAUCACUAUAGUAAGGAUUUUGCACUUGUAUGUCUUAGUAAAACUCCAAAGACCACUAUACAUUCAAAAGAAAUAACACUCUUUUAAAUUUUCCACCUCACUACAAUAUCGCUCACACUCUCUAUUUUUCUUCACAGAUUAUUUUCCUCUGUGAUGCCUCACUCUUCUUUUUCUCCUUUGUAAUUCUUUUUGGUGCAUUUUUGAAAUGAGCAAGGGCUCUGUAUUUAUAAGAAAAUCUACUCCUAAUGAUUUCACCAGUGACAUCACAAAAAACACAAGAUUUCAACCUUUUCACCUAUAUAGAAAUCUUGCUAAGAUUUUAGUUGAAAAAAGAAAUGGUUAGCUUUGAAUUUUGUUGCAGCUUUUGUUGACUUUAACAAUAAGCAACAAACAAAAUUCAACCAUUUCUGCAUUUUAACUUUCCUUAUAUUUAUCUACAAUGGGUAUGGACUCCACAACUUGUUCUUGGUCUUAAAAUAACAAUAUAAACAACAAUCAAUCACAAAUGACUUUUUAAUUUACUUAGAUUACUAAUAAAUCUUUAUCUCUGGCCAAUAUAUGAUCAUUUCCCCUAACUUGGGCUUCUUCCCACCCUGAAAUUGUACCCAAACCUUUCCUCAAUGUUAACCACUUAGGGGUCGUUUGGUAGGCUGCAUUAGAAGAAAUAGUCCAUCAAUUAUGUAAGGUAUUAUUUAGUACUAUGUUUGGUAGGAAUUUGAGCCUAUGUAUAACUAAUCCAUGGAUUAGUUAUACCUCCAACAUGGUAUUAUAAUUUAUAGGAUGUAUUACUAAUACCUUCCAUUUGAAAGUAUUAGCUCUGAUACCAUGGGACUAUUCUAGGUAAAGACAAAAAUAUCCCUCAAAUUCUUCUAAUAUUUUAUUUAUUUUUUGAUUUUAUAUUUUAUAUUUUAUAUUUAUACUAAUAAAGUUAUUUAAAUAAAUUAGCUUACAAAUUAUAUUAUAUAGAUAUAAUUUUUUGUUUCUAAAAUAUGAAUUACUUUAUCUAAUUAUUAUUAAUAUAAAAUAUUAUAAUCCGACUAAUAUGUUAAUGUUGAUGUAUGAAUAUAAGAACAAUUCAUAAGUAAAAUAUUGUCUCUUAAUGAAAGUUCAUUAAACAUUACACAAGUAGUCUAAAACAAGAGUGUGUGUGUAUAUAUAUAUAUACACACACAUCUCGAGUAUAAAAAUAGUUUAAUUUAUUUUUCUAUAUUUAUUUUAUAUUUUUAUUUUAUUUUAUGAUAAAGAGUUUUUUAAAAUUUAUUGAUACAAAAUAAAAUUCAAUAAAUUUUCUCUAUAAUCAUUAUAGUUGUGUGACCUUUUGAGUUAUUAACUCUAAUUUAUUAAGAUAACAAUUAUUUACUCUCAAAUAAUUUAAGUGAGAAAAUAGUGAACAUGACAAUAAAAAAUUUAUUCUCCUAACUAGUUAAAAAUGUUAUAAAAAAAUAAUAUUCUCGAUUAAUUAUCUACUUUGAAUCAAUUACAUGAAAUACAAAAUCUCAUAAUAACUCUAGGGUAUAAUUGGAAUUUUUUUUAAAACUUUUAAACCACACACAAAAUAAGAUAAGAACAAUGAACCAAACACUUGAUAAAAAUAAUCUCUGUAUUACUAAUCCCUGCAUUAUUCAUUUUUGUAUCAAACGACCUAAGAAUUUGAGGAAUAAUUUACAAGAUUGAGGAGUCGAAUUUUUGCUUUUACCAUGGAAUUUCGUGGGAAAAAGAUAGCAAGUUUUUCAAACUUCCUCUCUCUGUUUUCAAGAACACAAUUGCAAAAAAUAUGAAUUUUGUGUGAACUGUAAGUUUGAGACUUAGCAAAUGCACCAGAAUAAUGUACAUUUAUUCAUAGGUUCCAAUGCCUUUUUAUAGGAAAUACAUGAAAGUUAAAGAAAAACGAAAAUACAGGACAUGACUCAACUAACUCCACUACUGACAGAAAAAUAGGAAAUAGAAAUUGACUUGUUCCAACCCUGAAGAAUAGGUCUUUGUUGAAGUAAACUAAAACUGAAGAAAAACUAACUCAACACUCCCUCCCUUGAACUGAACUCAAUCAAGAGUUUCAAUUCACAAUUUUUAUCCCAAAUGCUUCUCUGAUUCUUUGAAAUGAUGCCAUCCAAAGGCUUUGUCAUUAUGUCUGCCAGCUGCUCCUCAGUGCUGCAAUAGACCAAUUUAACAACACCUUCAUUUGCCAAUUCUCUGAGAAAAUGAUAUCGAACCCUUACGUGCUUUGACUUUCCGUGCAUGACAGCAUUUUUUGACAACUUGAUAGUGGAUGUGUUGUCACAAAACAGAACCAUCUCUUCAUCUUGUUCAUGCCCGAUUUCAUUCAAUAUUCUUUUCAUCCAGAUGGCUUGACAGGCACAUGUAGUUGCUGCUACAUACUCUGCUUCAGUAGUUGACAGAGUGAUGAUUGGUUGCUUCCUUGAGGACCAUGCCACAGCUCCUCCACUCAUUAAGAAAACAUAUCCUGAAGUGCUCCUACUGUCAUCCACAUCCCCCGCAUAAUCACUAUCGGUGUAGCCUAAGAGUUCACUUUUUCCUUCACGUUGAUACCAUAUUCCAAAUUCCAGAGUUCCCUUCACAUACCUCAUGAUUCUUUUUGCAGUACCAAAGUGCAACUCAGUAGGAUUUGCCAUAAAACGACUAAUAAGACUUACCACGAACAUCAAGUCAGGUCCUGUGGCUGUGAGAUACAUUAAGUUGCCCACCAUUUGCUUAUAUAAUGUUGAGUCGACCUUCACACCAGCUUCAUCCCGGCCAACCUUCUGUCCAAGGACUAUCGGAUUGCAAACAAAAUUGUAAUUCUGCAUCCCAAACCUCUCGAUCAGCUCAGCAGCAUAUUUUCUUUGACAUAUAAAGAUGCCAUCAGCCUUCUGUAUCACUUCAAUGCCAAGAAAAUAUCUCAUCUUCCCCAAAUCAGUCAUGUCGAAUUCAUCCUUCAUGGAGCGCUUAAACUCAUUCAACAACUCCUCAUCAUUACUAGUGAACAAUAAAUCAUCAACAUAAAUGCUCACAAUUAUGAGUUUACCUCCCUUUUGCUUGAUGAAUAAUGUUUGUUCACUAGAGCUGCUUACAAAAACUUUCUUGACGAUAUAAGCCUCAAUGCGACUGAACAAAGCUCUGGGUGCUUGUUUUAGUCCGUAAAGGGCCUUAUGUAGCUUAUAAACCAUGUUCUUCUUCCCUGCUACUUCAUAACCUUGUGGCUGCUCUACAAAUACAUCUUCCUUCAGCUCACAAUGUAAGAAAGCAGAUUUGACAUCUAGCUAAUAGAUUCCCCAUCCUCUUUGUGCUGCUACAGCAAUGAUCAUCCUUACUAUAUCCAUUCGAGCCACUGGUGCGAAUACCUCUGUGUAAUCUACUCCGUACUCUUGAGCAUAUCCUUUUACAACCAGCUGAGCUUUGAACUUGUCUAUCUCUCCCAGUUCAUUUAAUUUGGUCUUGUAAAUCCACUUAACCCCAAUAGCCUUGGCUCCAACGGGAAGUGUAGUUAGUGACCACGUGUGGUUCCAUUCGAUGGACUGUAUUUCAGCAUCCAUCACUUGUUUCCAACUCUGAUGUCUGAUGGCUUCUUGAAAACUGGUUGGAUCUGAUAUGAUCAUGAAAGCUAGAGUUUCAGUCUCGACUCUAGCCAUGUUUACUUCUUCCUCUAUAUCUGAUAGCCCUUCUCCUGUGGUAUAAUCUACAGACCCUAUUGGUGGUUUUCUUACCCUGCUAGUUAUUGUUAUCGUUUCUCCAGUUGAUGGAUUAUUUGGUGAAGUAACAUCAUCAAUGUAUUCUUCUGUUUCUUCCGCUUCCUCAACACUUUCAUAUUGUUUUCCCACUCAAGUUCAAUGCUUUCUUCACCAGAAUAACCAACAGCUUCCCAAUUCCACUUCUUAUCUUCCUCAAAAAUAUCACAUCUCAGCUAAUGUGAAUUCUUUUCUCCACUGGAUCGAACAUCUUAAAAGCCUUGGAUUCACUGCUGAAACCUAAUAGGACACACUUCACGCUUUUAUCAUCAAGCUUGCUUCUUUUAACAACUGGGAUAUGAACAUAACCAAUACAUCCAAAAACCCUGAAGUGUUCGACUGAUGGUUUUCUUCCACUCCAUGCUUCUUCUGGGGUCAUGUCUCUUACAAUGAGUGUAGGAGAUCUAUUAAGAAUAUGAUUCACCCAUUGCACAGCAUCUGGCCAGAAAACUCUUGGUACAUCCUUCUCUAACAAAGUUGCUCUCACCAUGUUCAUGAUUAUACGGUUUUUGCGUUCAGCAACACUAUUCUGCUGGGGUGUGAAGGCUGUGGUCAUCUGUCGUUUGAUUCCAUGCUCUCUACAGAAUUCCUUGAACUCAUUUGAGUUGUAUUCUCCUCUUCUAUAUGUUCUUAGACAUUUGAUGAACAAUCCAGUUUGCUUUUCCACAAAUGCUUUGAAUGUCUUGAACUGAUGAAAUGCUUUUGAUUUUUCUAGCACAAAAUAUAUCCAUAUUUUUCUUGAGAAAUCGUCAAUGAAGCUUAUCAAGUACCUUAUUUGACUGUUUGAUGGUGGAUUGAUCGGACCACAGAGAUCAGAGUGAAUAAGCUCUGCAAUCUUUCAGUGGCUCUCCACUUGCUCUGCUUCGGAAAUGGAACACGAUGGUGUUUCCCUUUGACACAUGCCUCACAGGUGGUUUUCACAUCUCCAAUUUCAGGUAAUCCCACAACCAUCUCUUUACUGCAUAAUGUGUGAAGUCCCUUGUAGCUGAGAUGCCCAUAUCGAUGGUGCCACAGCUCUGCCUCGUCUGAGAUGUCAACCUGUAAGCAUUUCUCCUCUUUUGUUUUGUCAUUUGAUUCACCUAGCAAGAUAAACAUUCUAUUAGCACUCAUAACAUAUUCUGUUAUCUUUCCUCUCGAGGGAUGAAAGAUGUUGCAUGUGUUCUGAUCUCCUCCUUUGAAUAGCACAUCUAGACCCCUUUCUUGAAGUUGUCCAACACUCAGCAGGUUGUUCUUCAAUUCCGGAAUAUAAUACACAUCGUUGAUCACAUAGUUUAUUCCUUUAAGCAAUAUUUUUACCACUCCUUUCCCACCAACCAUCAGUUUGUGAUUGUUCCCAAGCUUAACAUUAUGUGUGAAGCUAGUGUCUAAACUUGAGAACAUACCUCUUUCUCCACACAUAUGGUUUGAACAUCCAGAGUCCACGAACCACACAUCUCUUCUUCGAGCACCUUGAAGCUCCACAUACGUCAUGAGAAGAACUUCAUCCUUUUCUUUGAUCUCUGGAAAAUUUGCUCCACUAUUCCCAUUUGGACAUUCAUAUUGGAAAUGUCCAAGAUUAUGGCAGUUGUAACACUCGAUUGUUGUUUUGUUGAAUGAGCGUCCUCUGCCCCUGCCUCGGCCUCUGUAUGAUCCUCUGCCUCUGCCUCUAACAUUUAGAGCCUGAUCAUCUUCUUCAUGACUGAUCUUCUUUAAAAAAAUUUCAUGUACAGACAAAGAGCUUUGCAGUUCGUCAAUCGUCAUCCUUUCUGUGUCUUUUGACUCCUCGAUAGACACCACUACAUAUGUGAAUUUGUCGGUCAGAGUUCGAAGUAUUUUCUCAACAAUCUUUGAAUCUGUCAUGUCUUCUCCGUUGCUUCUCAUCUUGUUGGAGACAGACAUUACUCUUCCAAAGUAAUCAUCAAUGCUCUCUUCAUUCUUCAUUUCAAGAACCUCAAAAUCUCUUCUUAAGGUUUGGAGAAGAGAUCGCUUCACCCUUUCGUUGCCUCCAAACUUUUUCUUCAUCGAAUCCCAAAUGAUAUUGGAUGUUUUGCGAUUCAAGAUCUGUUCAAACACAACCCGAUCAAUUGCCUGGAACAGGUAGUGCUUCACUUGAUGGUCCUUCAUCUUGAUCUCAUCAAGACUUUUCUUCUCUGCUGCUGUCAUUUCAAAUCCUUCUGCUGGUUCGUCGUAACCCUCAUCCACUAGACUCCACAGACCCUUGGCACGUAAGAGAUUUUCCAUCAGUUCACUCCAGUGGUCAUAGUGACCAUCAAAUUGUGGAAUCUUGGUGAGUGUUUUGUCGUCGCUCAUUUUUCUUUCUCUUAGAUCACUCUGUUUGCUCUGGCUCUGAUACCAAAUGUGAACUGUAAGUUUGAGACUUAGCAAAUGCACUAGAAUAAUCUACCUUUGUUCAUAGGUUCCAAUGCCUUUUUAUAGGAAAUACAUGAAAGUUAAAGAAAAACGAAAAUACAGGACAUGACUCAACUAACUCCACUAUUGACAGAAAAAUAGGAAACAGAAAUUGACUUGUUCCAACCCUGAAGAAUAGGUCUUUGUUGAAGUAAACUAAAACUGAAGAAAAACUAACUCAAUAUUUUGACCAAUUUUAAUUCCCUCGCUAUAGUGACGCCUAUCUCACGAUAAUGAUAACUUACUUUGCUAUAGCAGUUUGAACGCCGCUAAAGUGGGAGGCCGGAUGCUAUAACGAAAUAGACGAAAGUUCAACAACCUCAACUCCUGAAAAAAGAUUCUUUUUACAAUACAACAUUUUCCCUUGACAACAUAACUCGUGUCUUUCAUACCAAACUUAAUUUUUAGAGUUCUACAAAAUCUGAAUUCAAUUUUGAAAGGACUUAUGAAUUUCUAAUGUAUUAGUAUACAUCAAUCAAACCUCAAACCAAGACCCUACCCUUUCCUAGAUGACCCUAGACUUCAUUUAGCCUAAAUUCCAACACUUGCCUAGCCAUGAAUUUUCAAGUUACUAUCAAAAAAAUUGUGGCCUAAAUUUCUUCUCUACUUGUUCUUGUAGAAAUUGUAGUAUGCUUUAAUCAGUCCAUGAACCGGCGCCUCACAGGCCGAAAAUUAAAUGCUAAAAUUACUACUUCUUUUUUUUUUUGUAGUUAUUGUUUCUUGUCAAAUGCUCCAAUGUCAAGUUAUAGUGCAUGACAAUAAAAUAAAUUAUAUUGAUAUCUAGUACUUUAAAUUGAGUAAUUGAUGAAAGAUAUCAAGAAAAAUGUUUGAUAAUAUGAACAACGAAAUAGGCAAAAUGCUUUCGUAAAAAUGAUAUUUGGUCUCGAAAUUGCUAUAGGAUUGCAUGCACAUAGUUUUUAGUGGAUAUGACACGCCUAUUAUGCACUAAACAAAUAAUUAAGAAAUUCAAUUAUAAAAUAAGGAAUACCCUGCUAAAAUAUAUGUUGAAUCUGCAAUUGUUUGAUUUAAAUGAAAAUUGUGGUAACUAAAGAAUGAAAGAACACAUUCUUUCAUUUUAAAGACACCAACUAAAAAAUAAAAAGACACUCUCUUUUAUUUAAAAUACUUAUGUUAUUAGUUUAAUCUAAACUAAAUUUCAACAUAUACAAAAGUGAAUUUUUGUCCUUGAUGAGAUGUACUGCUAAUUAAUUUUGAUGAACAAAAUUCUCAUGAUCAUAUUAUUAACCUCGAGAGUUUGUUUUACAAAAUUUUGGACAUGUAAAUGACACAUGAUACUUAAUUUGAUUUCUUCAUUAACUAAUAGUAUUAGUUUCUACAAUUGGAAAAGAGACAAACAUGUUGAAACAUUGACAAGUUUAAGCUUAAAUUACAUCAAGUAGAGGUACUAGGUAGGGACAAUAUGAUAUGUUCUAUGUAACUAGUACUCAAGUCCUAUUACACAUUAGUUUAACAUUGGCCCAUAGGCCCAUUGUUACAUUUGGGCCUUUAUACAUUCGACAAAGCCUUAACAACUCCAACAAAAUCAUGCUUAAAUCCAUAUUCUGCAAGAAAAUGCUUUGUUGGAAUGAUUUUUGUGUACACAUAGAAGGCUACACAACCAAUAGUUGGUCCAACCCAAAAGAUCCAAUGUCCAUCCCAAAGGUGACCUCCUCUAAUAAUAGCUGGCCCCAAACAUCUCGCCGGGUUAAUCCCAGCCCCUCCGUAGCCCUUUUUUGCGGUCACCGUGGUCGAGAUAAACACUAGAAGGCCUAACACUAGACCAACAAUGGACAAGACAGUUACA
rnacentral:lncRNA from 1 species